rnacentral:tRNA from 1 species
GGGCGAAUAGCUCAGCUGGUUAGAGCGUCCGGUUUACACCCGGGAGGUCACAGGUUCGAACCCUGUUUCGCCCA